rnacentral:RNase_P_RNA from 1 species
AGGCGAUUGCUGGGUAACCAGAGGAAAGUCCAUGCUCGCACGGUCUGUGAUGACCGUAGUGAUUGCGCUAGGCGAAGCCAUAAGCCUAGGCACGCAGGAGUGCGUGACGGCGGCGAAUCGACUCCCGUAGCCGAAGAGCCAUAAAGUGCCACAGAGACGAGCUUGCUAGCGAUAGCAAGAUGAAACGUUGGUAAACCCCACAAGCGAGAAACCCAAAUUUGGUAGGGGAAGAAAGGAAAGCAAACCGAAGCUGACCUUUCCAGGGAAACCUGAGAUUAAUUUUCGCCCUCGACAGAACAUGGCUUAUCG